CAGGUAGAGUCUGAACAAGCAGAAGCCACAGUGUGAGAUUAUUAUCAGCAACAAGGCCAACAUGUCUGCGGAAGGGACCACAGGGCUGCUGUUUGAGGGCUUUCUGCAGAAGAGAAAGGAUACUCUGAAAAUUAGAUGGGUCACUUACUGGUUCAGGCUUCAAAACACAACCUUGUUCUUCUAUACCAAGAAGAAUGGCAGCGCUGCACAUUUGAGAGGCUACUACUACAUAUACACAGUGAGUCCCCCGUCGUUUAUUACUCCUAUAUAAGAAAAUGGAAAAUUAAUUUAAGUACAGCAGAGUUCAUUAAUUCAUUAUUAAUUCAUAUUUCUUUGUGUAUAUUUAUUGGUGCUAGAGGCUAUAGAGGAGGAAGAUGCAACAAAGGCUCUAUUAUUAGACUUUGCUCUAAUAUGACACAGUAAGGUGUUGAUAUAGUCCCAAAAAUGCUAAUCAUAGUAUUUAAAAAGUGUAAAAGAAUCAUGUGAGAAUGUUAAACAACAAUAAAUUUACACUUCAGCACA
rnacentral:lncRNA from 1 species